CUUGCCCCAAAUGAAAGCCUCCCUCCCUCUCCACACUUUCUCUCCGUUCUCCCAGCCCACACUCUCCAUUUCCAAUUUAUCAGCUAGUAAAUUCUGACUUGAACUUGGAGCCAGCGUUUCAUUUGUUUUUGGCAAAAGAUCAAAUUCUUCCAAGAAAAGAAACGAAAAAAGGAGGGGUGUGGAGGGAGGCUCAAGAAGAAAAAAAAAAGCCUACUUAAACAAAAAGAGGCUCCCGGAGACAACUCCAUAGCGCCGAGGUGCUCAGUGAAGAAAGAAUACAUCUUUGGAUGUACUAAAGUAGUUAAAGAAAUGCAGCACAUCUUUGCAGAGUUGAACAAAUAUUACACAACAUGACAUCAUGAGAGGAAAGGAGAUGCCACAGGUGAAAGACUGGCUUCACUGCCCUGGAGGUGACUGAUUGAAGGAGCCAUGGAGAAGAGCUGAGACUUGGCAUCAUAUGGUUGGAGUCCCUGAAAAAAGGCUUGGAGACCAUUGUUGAAGUGGUGUCAUGGGAAUCACAGUUCAUAUUCAUGAGUCAGAGUCCUAGGAGGAAACAAAUUGCAUACUCAAAUGGAGUGAUUUGAAGAGCAUUGAAGGCAUAGGACUGUUUGCAAAGGUUUAGUGAAGGAAACCAGCAGGAGAGCAGGAGGUACAUACUCCUCCUCAGCUCUCCCUCCCCAUCUCUUCUGCUGUCCUGGGGUUGACUCCAGUGGAGAGUAAGAAGCAAGGAAGCAAGAGCACUGUGGUUGCUUUCCACGAAGUACAAUGUGGACUUGGGUUGGGUAGGCAAAUGGAAAGAAUCUAAGGAAUCCUGCAGAAUCCUUUUGCAGCCUUUGUGAGAAUUAGAUGAACACUUCAGUCAAACACGAUUAGCAGAAUGAGCACCCAGAACACAGGGCUAGUGUUGUUAUCCAUAUCUUGUACAUUUCUUUAUUGAUUGGCAACUAAAACCUUUGAGUCAAUGUAGUUGACUACAGCAGAUAAGGUUACUGUGGUAUAUAACACCAACUAAAGGAAGACAAAAGCCGCUAGUGAAAGGUGUGUGGGCCUUUUGGAGAGAGAGAGAGGGAGAGAGAGAGAGAGAGAGAGAGAGAGAGAGAGAGAGAGAGAUGCACCAGCUUCUCUUUGAGGAAACAGUUCUUCAAUGCAGAGAUGCCACCAUUCUUUUCAACUGAAGUCACUGCCCCAUCACUCUCUUCAAGCUUUUCCGUCCAAAAGACCAGACAAUUGUAGUGUUCUCUGAACUGGGAACCAAGCCCCACCACCCAGAAAGGAGCUUGUAUUACUAUGGGCCCCAUUAGGAAUGAGGUGCCAUCUGAACCAAUGGCAUCAUUGUACUCAUCAAAGAGACUUUGGAGGACUAAGGACCAUCCCUGGGCAGCAGCUUACCUUGGAUAACUGAAAACACAUAUCUUUACCUUCAACAGCCUGGCGUGGUUUUCUGGGUGGUUGUCAAGGAAUUUGUAAUCAUUAGAGCUGUCUGAAAGAAUCGAGGAAGUUUCCUGUCCUCGUAAGUGUUGGAUUGGAACUGGCAAACCACCUGCACAGAUAUUACAGAGAAGCCAGGUGACCUCAGAGCUCAUUCCAUGCAGGAGAACUCUGCAGAGCAAGGGGAGUGCCGUUAGAAUUCUCACAUUAAAAAUCGCUUCCAGGGCUGGAGAUACAACUCAGUGGUGGAGUGUUUGCCUGGCAUAUGCAAAGCCCUGAGUUCAAUCCCGAGCACCAAGGAGACAUUUCAAAGGGAGCAGGCAUAAAUUCAGGCAAGAGGAUUGUCAUGAGUUUGAGGCCAGUAUGAGCUACACAGUGAGACUUCAUCUUAAAAAUCAAAACAAAAUAACCACCGUAUAAGAAUUGUUUCUCUAUAGAAAGAAGCCAAUAUGUUAUAUCCCUCAAAACCCCAGCUUUGGAAUUAGGACACAGGCCAUGCUUAUCAGUCAACGGAGUGGCUUUCCAACUCCUCUGUUCUUCUCAUCCCCAUGCCCUUGAUGUCACGAGAGGGUGAGUUGGAAUGUUUCUAAGCUGCCUUUGUUGAGAGUUUAUAGCUGGUCAGGAGAUAAUGUUCCAUCAUGGGUAUACGGAUGAACACAGGGCAGACCCACAGUGAAGGAAUAAAACCCACAGACUUCCAGGGCCCUGCACUGUUCACUGUGUUCCUGGAUAAAAGAAGCUCAUGCUGGGGGCUUAAUCAGUGUUGAAAACGUCUUCUUCAGUACUGUUCAAUGAGCUCACAGAGGCCUGAACUCUUAGACCAGAUACCACUUACAUAUUGUCAACUUGCGUUUAUGGCCAGAAUACAGAAAGGAGGCUUGUUGUACAUUCUCAGGAGCCUGACUCCUGAAGAGGCUAAGAAGAUGCUGCUGCUUCUAGCCACAUUGUUUCCAUAGCAACUACAACCUGGUGGCAGGGACAGGAAUCUAUUUUCUCAUAGAUCCAGAAGGUAGAGAUUGAAUUAUUAGCAGGAUAGUUCCUUCCUAGGGCCAAGAGGGGAGAAUCUACCACGGCUGUUGGCUUUACCUUGUAGACGGCCCCGAGCUUUAAGAGUUCUCUUUGACUUUCGUCCCUCUUUGCAUAUCCGACCCAUUGUGAGUUUACCUGUCAGAUGAGAGAGUUAGGGCUACCCCAAUGACCUCACUGAACCCAGUUGUCUCUGUAAGCACUGUUUUCAAAUAAGGUAAUAUGCUGAAGUACUAGGGGUGAGACUAUCAGCACAUGAUAUAAUCCAAUCACACAUCUAUCCAUUCCACCCUGCCCGGUCCAUUGGGCAUGUCCCCCUUGGCAAGAUGGGUAAUUGGCAGUGUGUCAUGACAACAGCUGUCCUCUCCUUUAGAUGCUUCCCCCCAUUUGGCUU